UGGGGAAUAUUGGACAAUGGGCGCAAGCCUGAUCCAGCCAUGCCGCGUGAGUGAUGAAGGCCUUAGGGUUGUAAAGCUCUUUCGCCGACGAAGAUAAUGACGGUAGUCGGAGAAGAAGCCCCGGCUAACUUCGUGCCAGCAGCCGCGGUAAUACGAAGGGGGCUAGCGUUGUUCGGAAUCACUGGGCGUAAAGCGCACGUAGGCGGAUUGUUAAGUCAGGGGUGAAAGCCUGGAGCUCAACUCCAGAACUGCCCUUGAUACUGGCAAUCUCGAGUCCGGAAGAGGUAAGUGGAACUGCGAGUGUAGAGGUGAAAUUCGUAGAUAUUCGCAAGAACACCAGUGGCGAAGGCGGCUUACUGGUCCGGUACUGACGCUGAGGUGCGAAAGCGUGGGGAGCAAAACAGGAUUAGAUACCCUGGUAGUCCACGCCGUAAAACGAUGGAGGCUAGCCGUUGGCGAGCAUGCUCGUCAGUGGCGCAGCUAACGCAUUAAGCCUCCCGCCUGGGGAGUACGGUCGCAAGAUUAAAACUCAAAGGAAUUGACGGGGUCAUAGCUG
rnacentral:rRNA from 1 species